UACGAAGGGGGCUAGCGUUGUUCGGAAUCAUUGGGCGUAAAGCGCACGCAGGUGGAUGGUUAAGUCGGGUGUGAAAGCCCGGGGCUCAACCUCGGAAUUGCAGUGGAUACUGUAGGUCUGGAGUCCGGUAUAGGUGAGUGGAAGUCCUAGUGUAGAGGUGAAAUUCGUAGAGAUUAGGAAGAACACCAGUGGCGAAGGCGGCCCACUGGACUGCUACUGACGCUCAGGUGCGAAAGCGUGGGGAGCAAACAGG
rnacentral:rRNA from 1 species